GAGGAACAGAGGAAACUGAAGACAUUUUACUUCCCUCUUAACACCUUUAAAUAGUUCUGAAUAAUGGACAGUAAUGUUGUUGAAUCUCUUUGUGAUUGAUUGGUUGUACCUCAGUACAUGUGAGUUCAAGUUAUUCUUCUUCUAUGCCUGAGAACAUGGUUUUAAAUUUUGUAAUAUGUAAUUGUAACAUAUGUGUAUUAUUCUAAACUUCACCAGUAUUUUCAGUAUUAGGAUCAUGGCAGGGUCUCUGUCCUAAAUAUAUUAUAGUACAACAAUGCUGAAAUGGAAAGACAGUUAUAGUUAAAAGGGCUAAAUAAAAAACUUGGCGUUAAAACCAAAUUAUACAGUAAAAUAUCAUAAUUGCAAGUGAAGCUUAUAAAUUUUUUAAAAUUAUUUUUAAAAUAUAGAUUAAAAGCAGAAAUACCCACAAUAUUACCCAUAAAUAUCCAUAAAAGGACAGUAAAAGAGAAUUUGAAGAUCAUUAUUAAGCUUGGUUUGGAGUACUUUUGGUUCCUGGUGUUCACGACCUAGCUUUUGUAUUAGUUACCCUUCUGCAAAGCAUCCUGUAAAAAGCCAUGUAAAUUGUCAGAUACCAAGGCAAAGUUGGUUGCGGCUGUGUUGAAGAUGAGGAUUUGUACUUCAUAAAGCAUAAAGUGCUGUGGGAUUGAUGGUGCCUUAGAUACCAGCUGAUCCUAACAGGGCAACCAGCUCCAUUUAGGCCAAGGAAAUGCACCUUCGAAGAGCACUAACAGAAACAAAUAAACAGUUGAAUGUCUAAAAUGAAACUAGAGACAUGCAGAUUUAACUCCUGUAAUCAGAACUGAAAUUAAGAUAUGCAUUAUUUUUUAAAGGAGCAACUUGUUCCAGUAAUGCUGUACCUGGGAGCAAGAGGCUAUGAUAAAGAAUCUUUAUCCAGGUUUGAUGUUUUUCUGCCAUGGGAUGGACUCCACAGUGGGGAGAAAGGGAAUAUGAUGCUUAAUGCUUUCUGCUGGCUGGAGACUACAUCAAAGAGCAAGAUGACCUCUAUGCAAUAGCAGGAAUGAAAAGACUUCCUGAAUUCUGAGCCCAGAUGCAAGGCAAUUUCAGAAGCCUGUUUCUGCCUGUCUCCUGUCUUCUGAUGAGUUGUCUGGUUGGGAUUUUUUUAUUUAAGAGCAACAUUUACCUACUGCAUAGGAAUGCUCUGAAGAUUAAAUCAUUUGCAUGCUAUAUGAAAUAUGAAAUGUGCUAGGAAACAGAUUUCAAUUGUGGAAGUUAGGGUGCUGUUAUCACUUUGUGCAGGAGAAGCCACCUGGUAGCGUCUGAUGAUUUGCUCUGUCUCUGCUCAGAAAACACAUCAGGGCAGAAAGAAGGGGUCUCAGGGACAGCCUCCUCUUUCUAAUCCUCAGUGGGAAAUGCCCUGUGGCCCUCAGCCAGAGGGCACUUGUGCAGACUGCUUCCAUGUCCUUAAAGCAGCUAAGGUGUUGAGCCUUGCAUAAAGUUCUCUUUCCCACCUGGGCUUCUCUGUCAAAAGUACUUUUAGCUGAGGUUGGAUCUUAAUGUAUAUGUACAGAUGUUACCCAGACAAAUUGGACCCUCAAGCAAAACAGAGGAUGAUCAGCCUGUCUGUGUAGGUGUAGCUCAUACAUCAUGUUUCACUUUAUUAUUGAUUUCUAAUUCGUGGGGCUACUGGACUCCCUAAAACAAAGAAACACUUAGAAAUAACUAACUUGUCAAACAUAAGCACUCUUAAGCCAGAUCUUGGUACCAAAUGAAGCUGAUUAUUAAUAACAAUAUUACAGUGAAUACCUCAAAACCAAAAUGUUGCUAUUCUUUUUGUCUACAGUAACAAUGUCCUGUUCUCCAAGCAUGAAACUUGAGGUAUAUUUGCAUAUCUUAAUAAAUUAAAUAAACUUUUCUAGAAGUAAAACUAU
ensembl:lncRNA